rnacentral:rRNA from 1 species
AGGACGAACGCUGGCGGCGUGCCUAACACAUGCAAGUCGAACGAGGCUUAUCCGGUAGCAAUACCGGAGACUGCCUAGUGGCGAACGGGUGAGUAGCACGUGAGCAACCUGCCCCGAAGACUGGGAUAACACCGGGAAACCGGUGCUAAUACCAGAUGCCCCCACCGGAUCGCAUGAUCUGGUGAGGAAAUGGAUUCCGCUUCGGGAGGGGCUCGCGGCCUAUCAGCUAGUUGGUGAGGUAACGGCUCACCAAGGCUUCGACGGGUAGCUGGUCUGAGAGGACGAUCAGCCACACUGGGACUGAGACACGGCCCAGACUCCUACGGGAGGCAGCAGUGGGGAAUCUUGCACAAUGGGCGAAAGCCUGAUGCAGCAACGCCGCGUGAGGGACGAAGGCUUUCUGAGUUGUAAACCUCUUUCAGCAGGGACGAGUUGUGACGGUACCUGCAGAAGAACGCCCGGCAACUACGUGCCAGCAGCCG